GACGAACGCUGGCGGCGUGCCUAAUACAUGCAAGUUGAGCGAUGAAGAUUGGUGCUUGCACCAAUUUGAAGAGCAGCGAACGGGUGAGUAACGCGUGGGGAAUCUGCCUUUGAGCGGGGGACAACAUUUGGAAACGAAUGCUAAUACCGCAUAACAACUUUAAACAUAAGUUUUAAGUUUGAAAGAUGCAAUUGCAUCACUCAAAGAUGAUCCCGCGUUGUAUUAGCUAGUUGGUGAGGUAAAGGCUCACCAAGGCGAUGAUACAUAGCCGACCUGAGAGGGUGAUCGGCCACAUUGGGACUGAGACACGGCCCAAACUCCUACGGGAGGCAGCAGUAGGGAAUCUUCGGCAAUAGACGAAAGUCUGACCGAGCAACGCCGCGUGAGUGAAGAAGGUUUUCGGAUCGUAAAACUCUGUUGGUAGAGAAGAGCGUUGGUGAGAGUGGAAAGCUCAUCAAGUGACGGUAACUACCCAGAAAGGGACGGCUAACUACGUG
rnacentral:rRNA from 1 species